rnacentral:rRNA from 1 species
CCUACGGGAGACAGCAGUGAGGAAUAUUGGUCAAUGGACGAGAGUCUGAACCAGCCAAGUAGCGUGAAGGAUGACUGCCCUAUGGGUUGUAAACUUCUUUUAUAAAGGAAUAAAACGAGGCACGUGUGCCUUUUUGCAUGUACUUUAUGAAUAAGGAUCGGCUAACUCCGUGCCAGCAGCCGCGGUAAUACGGAGGAUCCGAGCGUUAUCCGGAUUUAUUGGGUUUAAAGGGAGCGUAGAUGGGUUGUUAAGUCAGUUGUUAAAGUUUGCGGCUCAACCGUAAAAUUGCAAUUGGUACUGGCAGUCUUGAGUACAGUUGAGGUAGGCGGAAUUCGUGGUGUAGCGGUGAAAUGCUUAGAUAUCACGAAGAACCCCGAUGGCGAAGGCAGCUUACUAAACUGUGACUGACAUUGAUGCUCGAAAGUGUGGGUAUCAAACAGGAUUAGAUACCCCAGUAGUC